UCCCUGGUGGCUCAGAUGGUAAAGAAUCUGCUUGCAAUGCAGGAAACCUGGGUUCGAUCCCUGGGUUGGGAA
rnacentral:tRNA from 1 species